rnacentral:rRNA from 1 species
UACGGGGGGGGCAAGCGUUGUUCGGAAUUACUGGGCGUAAAGGGCUCGUAGGCGGCCAACUAAGUCAGACGUGAAAUCCCUCGGCUUAACCGGGGAACUGCAUCUGAUACUGGAUGGCUUGAGUUCGGGAGAGGGAUGCGGAAUUCCUGGUGUAGCGGUGAAAUGCGCAGAUAUCAGGAGGAACACCGGUGGCGAAGGCGGGACUCUGGGCCGAUACUGACGCUGAGGAGCGAAAGCGUGGGGAGCAAACGGG